rnacentral:rRNA from 1 species
AGAUUGAACGCUGGCGGCAGGCCUAACACAUGCAAGUCGAGCGGUAGAGAGGUGCUUGCACCUCUUGAGAGCGGCGGACGGGUGAGUAAUGCCUAGGAAUCUGCCUAGUGGUGGGGGAUAACGUUCGGAACGGACGCUAAUACCGCAUACGUCCUACGGGAGAAAGCGGGGGACCUUCGGGCCUCGCGCCAUUAGAUGAGCCUAGGUCGGAUUAGCUAGUUGGUGAGGUAACUGGCUCACCAAGGCGACGAUCCGUAACUGGUCUGAGAGGAUGAUCAGUCACACUGGAACUGAGACACGGUCCAGACUCCGUACGGGAGGCCAGGCAGGUAGGGGAAUAGUUGGACAAGUAGGGCGAAAGCCUGGAUCCGAGCCAUGCCGCGUGUGU